rnacentral:rRNA from 1 species
GAACGGGUGAGUAAUAUAUCGGAACGUACCCUGUGAGUGGGGGACAACGUACGAAAGUUACGCUAAAUACCGCAUACGAUCUAAGGAUGAAAGUGGGGGAUCGCAAGACCUCAUGCUCCUUGGAGCGGCCGAUUAUCUGAUUAGCUAGUUGGUGGGGUAAAGGCCUACCAAGGCAUCGAUCAGUAGCUGGCACUGAGAGGACGACCAGCCACACUGGAACUGAGACACGGUCCAGACUCAUACGGGAGGCAGCAGUGGGGAAUUUUGGACAAUGGGCGCAAGCCUGAAUCCAGCAAUGCCGCGUGAGUGAAGAAGGCCUGGCGGGGUUGUAAAGCUCUUUUGUCAGGCAAAGAAAACGGUUGAUUUUCUAAUACAAGAUCGGCUUAAUGACGGU